rnacentral:rRNA from 1 species
UUUUGGACAAUGGGGGGCAAGCCUGGUCCAGCCAUUCCGCGUGAGUGAAGAAGGCCUUCGGGUUGUAGAGCUUUUUUGCAAGGGGAACCACGAUUACUCUUUAAUAUAGAGUGAUUAUGACGGUACCUUGAUAAGAAGCACCGGCUAACUACGUGCCAGCAGCCGCGGGUAAUACGUAGGGUGCGAGCGUUAAUCGGAAUUACUGGGCGUAAAGCGUGCGCAGGCGGUUUCGUAAGUCAGAUGUGAAAUCCCCGAGCUCAACUUGGGAACUGCGUUUGAAACUACAAGACUAGAAUAGGUCAGAGGGGGGUAGAAUUCCACGUGUAGCAGUGAAAUGCGUAGAGAUGUGGAGGAAUAUCAAUGGCGAAGGCAGCCCCCGGGAUCAUAUUACGCUCAGCAGAAAG